CAAGUGCUAAAUGGCACACCAAUGCGAUGCAGAAAAGGAAGAAAAUCCAGCUCAAGGAUGCUUCAAAUCACGGCUUUAUUUCAGGCCAGUUCACAAAGACAGCUUCAGGUCCAAAUGAUGUUCUAGGUGUCUGACAUAGAUACAGUACUUGGUUCCAGGGCCGCUUCCAGUCCAGGUCACUGUGGCAGAGGAGCAUGUUCUCUUGGAUACGGACAUGUUGAUAUCAGGAGGCAGUACUCAACCUCGAUCUCAGAAGGUCCCAAGCUUGGUUCCCAAGAUAAAUCAACUUUAUUUUCUUCCACCGAAAGGACAUCUACUCGAGGGUCCUCAGGGAGAAUAGGCCAUGGGACAGA